rnacentral:rRNA from 1 species
UACGAAGGGGGGCUAGCGUUGCUCGGAAUCACUGGGCGUAAAGCGCACGUAGGCGGCUUUUUAAGUCAGGGGUGAAAUCCUGGAGCUCAACUCCAGAACUGCCUUUGAUACUGGGAAGCUUGAGUCCGGAAGAGGUGAGUGGAACUCCGAGUGUAGAGGUGAAAUUCGUAGAUAUUCGGAGGAACACCAGUGGCGAAGGCGGCUCACUGGUCCAUUACUGACGCUGAGGUGCGAAAGCGUGGGGGAGCAAACGGGG